UGGGGUGUAGUUCAACUGGAAGAACGCUCGACUGUUAAUCGAGUAGUUGAAGGUUCGAGUCCUUCCACUCCAGC
rnacentral:tRNA from 5 species